rnacentral:tRNA from 1 species
CGGGGUGUAGCGCAGUUUGGUAGCGCAUCUGCUUUGGGAGCAGAGGGCCGCAGGUUCAACUCCUGUCACCCCGACCA